ACACACACACACACACACACACACACACACACACACACACACACACACACACACACACACACACACACACACACACACACACACACACACACACACACACACCUAAACUGAGACAACAAAAAAUAAAAAAUCCCCUGUGAAUGUUUGUUGAAGUGAACAUACUAACGAAUGGAAAGCCCCUAAGUAAAAAAACUUUUUCUCAUAUCUUCAGCUUCAGCCUUAUUCUCUCAGUAUGAACGGAUUCGGAGUACCAGCUUGCUGUUAUGCCUUCAUCUUGAAAUCGAAGUUGCCUCGUGGUCGAUGUUCUCUGUAGGACUAAGAAAGACCUUUGUUCUGAGGUGUUUAACCGUUCAACUGGUCUGAGAUCUUGGUGAGAGUGAAAAUCAUACAUCAUUUUCCUCCUCAUUACACUACACAGUGCACUCCAGGUGGGGGCGGAGUCAUCCUGGGAGAGGCCACGCCCAUCAGGUGCAAUGGAACAAUACGUGCAGAGAACACAAGACUCACACUCCUUCAUCAUGCCGAUGUCGACGCAGCGCUUGAGGCGACAGGCUUGGCAGUGUCUGCGGUUGUCUUUGGUGAUAGUGCAGCUGCCGU